GGCUCCGUGGCGCAAUGGAUAGCGCGUCGGACUUCUAGAGUAUAGAAAAGUAAUUCGGAGGCUGUGGGUUCGAGUCCCACCGGAGUCG
rnacentral:tRNA from 1 species